rnacentral:lncRNA from 10 species
GAAUCAUGGAAUCAUAGUGACCAGUAACUGUUAUGGACUGGAUUGUAUCCCCCUCCAAUUCAGUUAUGGUGCUGCUUCAGAAAGAAAAGAGCAAAAACAACAGACCUUCAUUCAGCUUAGGAACAUAAUAAAUAGGACGAAGUUGAAUAAACGAAAUGGAGGGGAGUGAAGUAUUCCAGAUGGAAGAGGCAGUACGUGGCCAAGAGGAAACAGACCAUGUGCGCUGGAGAAAAAGGAUGGCCAGACUUGCAGAAACCUGGAAUUGGUGAUUGGCUUUAGAAGUGGAGAGACAAAAAAGGAGGCAUAGAAAGUGCCAACAUUUGGCUACACAGGGAAGAAAGACGUAAAAUAAUAAAAACAUUGGCAUCACCUGUAGACUCAAAUCCUGUGAGUGAAGGACCUGAGCAAUGAAGGAUGGAUUGAACUCGUGAUUAGCCUUCUUCAGCAUAUGUAAAAUGAUGUCUGCUUUUCUUCUCUAUUUGUCAUUUUACCGACUUUUUAUAUAUAGUAGUUUCCCCAUAUCCAUGGAGGAUGUAUCCCAAGACCCCCAGAGGAUGCUUGAAACCACAGAUAAUAACAAACUCUAUGUAUCCUAUGAUUUUUCCUGUACAUCCUUACCUAUCAUAAAGUGAGUGUAUAAACUAGGCACAGGAGAUUAAAAACAAUAACUCAUAAUAAAAUAGAACAAUUAGUACAACCUAAUGAAA